rnacentral:rRNA from 1 species
CUACGGGGGGCACCAGUGAGGAAUAUUGCACAAUGGGGGGAACCCUGAUGCAGCAACGCCGCGUGGAGGAUGACGCAUUUCGGUGUGUAAACUCCUUUUAUAUGUCAAGAAAAUGACGGUAGCAUAUGAAUAAGCACCGGCUAACUCCGUGCCAGCAGCCGCGGUAAUACGGAGGGUGCAAGCGUUACUCGGAAUCACUGGGCGUAAAGGACGCGUAGGCGGGUUGGAAAGUCAGGUGUGAAAUCCUACAGCUUAACUGUAGAACUGCACUUGAAACUUCUAAUCUAGAGUAUGGGAGGGGGAGAUGGAAUUAGUGGUGUAGGGGUAAAAUCCGUAGAUAUCACUAGGAAUACCUAAAGCGAAGGCGAUCUCCUGGAACAUUAUUGACGCUGAGACGCGAAAGCGUGGGGAGCAAACAGGAUUAGAUACCCGGUAGUC